rnacentral:rRNA from 1 species
GCCAGACUCCUACGGGAGGCAGCAGUGGGGAAUAUUGGGCAAUGGGCGCAAGCCUGACCCAGCAACGCCGCGUGAAGGAAGAAGGCUUUCGGGUUGUAAACUUCUUUUGUCAGGGACGAAGCAAGUGACGGUACCUGACGAAUAAGCCACGGCUAACUACGUGCCAGCAGCCGCGGCAAUACGUAGGCGGCAAGCGUUAUCCGGAUUUACUGGGUGUAAAGGGCGUGUAGGCGGGACUGCAAGUCAGAUGUGAAAACCACGGGCUCAACCUGUGGCCUGCAUUUGAAACUGUAGUUCUUGAGUGCUGGAGAGGCAGACGGAAUUCCUAGUGUAGCGGUGAAAUGCGUAGAUAUUAGGAGGAGCACCAGUGGCGAAGGCGGUCUGCUGGACAGCAACUGACGCUGAGGCGCGAAAGCGUGGGGAGCAAACAGGAUUAGAUACCCCCGUAAC